GUAAAUAUCUUCGUUGUUUACCAUAUUAAAACAAAAUGUACAUAAUUCAAGGCACUGAGGUUUUCUGCGUAGCUCCUAAGAAAGUACCGAAUAGGUUUAAUAGAAUAUGAACAAGAUAGAUUCGCCGCAAAGCAGAAAGAAUUGACGAGAGUUUGUUAGUGAGGGUACCUGGUUUAUGGAAGACGGAAAACAAUCCCCAGAUAACAGCAGCAAAAAAUCUGGUCAGAUUUGGCAAUCACAGCGAAAAAUGAGUGCAAAGUAGAAAGGUUUUUUCAUGUUUGAAAUUAUAGUAUUAUUACAUGAUUGGUUAAGGUUCAAACUGCAGUGUGAGGGGGAGGGGGAGGGUGAGGGUGAGGGUGAGGGUGAGAAUGAGGAUGAGGAUGAGGGGUGAGGGGCGGCGGUCCUGUUGAUGCA
rnacentral:lncRNA from 1 species